GGAAGCAGAGCCCCCUUGGGGCAUCAGACUAAGAGGCCUCCGUGCCAGAAGCUGAUAACGGAAGAGUGCUGUCCUGGGAGGUCACCAGGGAGCCCUGAGGUGACCUGGUGUAGCCAUGGUCCCUUUCCGACCCGUGGCGGGCAGGGAGCGAGUGGUUGCCGCUAGGGCUGCACGGAGCAGCUCCCAGACGUAGUCGCGGCUGGGGACUACAGUUUGGAGAGGGUCCUGGGCACUCUCACUCACCCAGCGUCUUUGACAACGCGGGAGGCCACUCUACCUCGGGACUGUCCCCAAUACCCUCCGCGACAACCCCAAUCGGCCACUUACUUAACCCAGGGCCCGGACGCGAGCAGAGCAGCUACCUGCAGCUGGCCGUAACCCGGCCGACUGGACUUUAGCUGGCGCCUCCGUCCCCGCUGUCCCCGUCGUCUCCGUCGUCCCCGUCGUCUCCGUCGUCCCCGUCGCCUCGAGGAUCCCGGCUGGGCUGCAGACAGUGCCUGGCGUUGCUUCUGCGCGCCCGGCUAAGCUGGACUCUGCGCUCCUCGCUCGCUCCCAGCCGGGCUUAAGCGCUGCCGGGACGCGGAGGCGGAGCCGCCGCCCCCACCUGCUCCUGGCGGCCGCCCUGGAGCCUCGCCGCCCAGCGCACGGGGACGCGGUCCAGAGGGCGGGGUCGCUCUGGCACCCAGGAGGCGGUCCUGGCUGCGCGGCGGCGCAGCUCCCAGGUACAGAGUCCCGAGUGUGAGCCACGGGGACAAUGGGGCCAAGGGCUGGAGUUCCCCUGCACGCCACCUCGUCUAUAUAUUACAAACAUUUCUGAGCCCUCGCUAAGCCCCAGACAGCGCGUAUAUGCAAGGGGACAAAAGGAGAAUGGGACAGCCGGUUGUCCCGAUGAGCACAAGCAGUGCUGGUACAUGUUGACCAGAGACAGAGGAAGGUUGUAGGAAGAGAGGUGCUGACGGAAACACCGAACCCCGCCAGUGUUCCAGAGUGAAGCAAGAAGUCACUGUGUCAUGGGAACGCCUGACAGAAAUGGAAAUAACUCAGAUCGCACUUCACCAGGUGAAGGUAUUCUCCCUUGGCUGCUCAAGUAGAGUAGGCAGGAGGCGGCCCUUAGUUAAGAAGGCAGACAGAAUGGCUGAAAAGGUUGACUGAAGAAUGAAGUAUCAUGUGAUUCUGAAGAGGCCCUGCACGCGACUGGGGGUGUCCAGGAUGUGACCUCCAAUUCGUCUCCACACAGCAGAGAUCUGCAGGAUGAUGUCGAUGAGGAUGGGAAAGAAGAGCUGGGUGUUCCUUUGGGACAUCAGAGAAGUGCCCACUCUCGUGAAGAGGAGAGGAACUGGGUGGGCAAAGUCCUCCAUGAUGAUAAUGAUGGUGAGGGCUAGAACUGAUCGGGUAGGUCUUACUUUCCCGUCAAGCUGUGGUUCCUCAUCACCAGGUUCUGAGCAUCUUCCGAACAUGAGCACCAAAGACUUCUGCUGUUCUUGGAUGUUCUUUGUCCCUACUGUUUCCUGGAAUGGAUGCAUGGUUCUCAGUGUAAUGAGGUUUAAAAGGCAUCGGGCUUUUUAAAAGGUGGGGCUUGGUGGAAAGAGAUUGGAGCAUGACCACCCAGGUGAAGGGAUCGGAGUUAGCUUCUCAGAGGGUUUAGAAUGAAUUUACUUGCACAAAGCUGUCUGUUAUUAAAGAGCAAGAGACACCCUGCUCUCGGUCCUGAUGGCUCAGAUGGUGCCAAGCUGCACCCGUGAGACAGAGCCCAGACUCUAUUCCAUAUGCACAUUCAAGGACUUCUUCCUCCAGAUGGCUGUGCACGGAGACACCUACAUAUGUUCUACUGGCUACCUGGACACCUUGAACCUGGAGACACUGAAGACCUUUCCUGCCUGGUUCUCUGAUGAAACACACAAAGACAUAACUCAGUCAGUGCAGUCAGGAGUCCCCCUGGCUGUUUCACAACUCCUGAACAUUUAUGCUUCCACGGAUGUCCUGUUUCCUUAUGAAGCAUCCCCACUUCUGCUGUUUGGAUUUCCCUGACUUGGGAUUAAAUCAGUGUGUUCUUCCUGAUGCAUAAUUCAGGAGCACUCGAAAACGAUGUAAUUACAAACCUCAGCUGGCAGAUUGUGAAUUGCGCUCACUGUCAAAACUGCCUGAAGCACGGAGUCCUUUCAGAAUAGUGGGUUAUUGAACCUAGGAUUUGUGCAUCCUGGGCAAAUGCUCUCCCACAGAGAUAAAUCAGCAGCCCACUCAGGCUCUUUCUGCUUGGCCUUGAAAGUUGGAUGCUCUUACCAAGAUACAGAAUUCAUAUGGACCAAGACUACAUUCAGUUUAGAGAUUGAGGGGCAGGACACAGGUAUGCUUGGCAGCUGGAAUGGCCAAAAAAUGUUCCAAUACUACUUUAUUAAUGCUGAAGAUUUGGAAGGGCAGAACUGCUGAAGAGAGCAUGUGAAGAUAUACAUCUGGCAACUAUGAAAGAUUUUCUGUUGGAUGGAUAAGCCUAUAAAGAGCUGCUUUUUUUUUGGAAUUACAUGGGGAAAUCUUCAGAACUGCUAAUUCUUCAUACUUGGUGUUAUCCCACUGGAACGAAUGUGGAGCCAGGUGGAAGAAGCCAUGCUAGGCUGCCAGAUGGUUUGGGUGAUAUAUGCCAUAGAGCAACUUUUAUGAAGGAAAAACAUUUGAUUAAAAGAUACCAACCUUAUCUAUUCAUAAUUUAAUAAUUGGUUUAUAAAAUGAAAGAAAGGAACAAGAUUCAACAAUGAUCCUUCAAGGUUCAUGAUUCAUCCAUAUGGAAAUGCGGCAAAGAAUUUCAACUUGCCAUUGGCAUCAGUCUCAAGGGCCUGGCUGAGGAGAGGGAAAGUGCUAAUUCUGUGACACCGUCCAGCUGCAUCCAGUGUCCUCAAGUCAUUUUGUGUAGCGGUGCACACUGCACGUAAUAGGAUGUACACGGGAGAUAUGGAGAGGCCAUGACUAAUUCCAUAACAUCCUUUGGGAAGCCUCAAAAAGCCCACAGAAAGGAAAUUGGCAGAUGCUUCAGACCAGCCUAGAAACACUAUGAACAUACACUAUCUCACAGCAGAAAAGCCAGUGCUGAGGAGCAGGAGCUGUGAAAAGCAGGGGCACGAGGAGGUGUGAACUCUCAUGGAAGAACUCAUCGGGACAGAGCAAAACAGACAUACAUACGAGGCACGGCAAAAGACCCAAGGCAAGCACAGAGACCUCAGGCGGAUUUUCAGAAGGACUGAGAUUCUAGCUAUGCACAGCAGGCCUGAGCUCAUCUCUGCGGUCAGGAGCGUGCAAAAAUCGAGAGUAAGAAUAGCAGGAAGACAUUCAUUAACGGUGUUCUUUGGCCUUGGACUAGAAGAUCAUAUAUAGCAACUGUUGGUGUCUAAGCUGCACCGAGUGAUCUGAUUGAUGCCUCCCGCCCUGCAGUCCAAGACCCUGGAAUCUUCCUGCCAAUCUCCACAGGUGCCUGUCUCCAUCUGAUUGGUGGAGAUGGGCAUCUCGUGGAGACCAGCUCUUCCUCCUGGCUGGCUACAAGAGUUGCUCUGUUUGCAGGAAUGACGGCGGACUGGUCUUUGAUUUGAAGAGUUCCUGACUUGUAUUCAGUCUGCCUUUCCUUCUCUCACAGUCACUGUGAUCAGCACAGCUGCUCGACACCCCCUGCCUUCCCUUCCCUGUGAUCAGAGAAUGCCGGGCUUCUCCACGCUGAUGCACAUACUGCUGGCAUGGCGAGUCUUCGCUGCUCUCAAGCUGAAGCUCAUCUCCUCUCCCUCCACAGAUCCUAGAAAAUCUUUUCCACCAUAUUCAGCUUCUCCAUGUGGUAGCUCGUGGUCUCCAUUAGAGUCUCACUGAACACACCGACAUUUGAUUCUAACUCAAGGGCCACCUUUACAAAGCAAACGUUCCCAGACUUCCCACUGGAGGAGUGCUCUGCCUUUGGGGUUCCAGUCUUUAUUGCAUUUAUCACUGCCUUGUAUUAGAGAUCAGUGGCCGCUCUGACCCCCUAUUAGACCAGGAACUCAGGAAAUGCCCCUGUGCCCCGUCACCUUUGGUUCUUCCUGCAAGGCUCUAAUGGGAUUCCUUCCUCUAGCAGCCAAUGAACAAAUACAGCCCUAGUACACGGAGAAAGCCAGAUGUCUAGAAAAAGGAGAACAAGCGUACCUCACAUAAUCUCACAUUCAUUUUAAGAUCAUCACUGCCCCUACACCCAGCUUCUGAGGACUAGGACCACCCAAGGCUGCUCUCUUCUAAUGGCUCCUUUCCUUGAUUCAUUCAGUCUUAAAGUUAAGUUGUCCCUGAAGGAGCUGAAUGGAGGUUUGGUAUACCUUACAAGUGUUUCCAGGCUUAGCCUAAAGAUAAAAAGGAGGCUGAGGUAAAAGAUCUUUUCUCAAACCUUCAUUGUUAGUAAAUGAACAGAGACUCUUGAAUACAAGAGCUUGUUCUUCAGUGUCUGAUAGGCCAAGUGUCUGAUUAUACCACUGGAGAAUCAAAUUAAAUAACCCUUUAUAUGGGAAGCGGGCAGAAGAGUGUCUCCUCCUCCUUGUGGUAUACUGCUAUUGAAUAUAAAUUUAAUUUGUUGAAUAUAAGAUUUAAUUUGUUCUCUUGUGUGUCAUUACUUGUAACUAGCAUUUUUAAUUUCUAUUCAUGACAGUGACUUCGCCUUUCUUGAACAGUUUCCAGAGCCUUUACCCAAACACAAGAUGCCUUCAGCCUCAGGCAGGCACCACACACAGUCCUUCUGUGAGUCCUCUUUACAGGGAGCGUCAGCUUCCCAAAGAGAAUGGCAGCUUCAGUGGUCACCCCAAUCACCCUCUUACUACUGAAAAAUGCUUACAAGACUCUCUUGGGACCAUCACUGCCCCCUGCCCCCAGGAAACACCUCCCACAGGACCCUUUAUCUGCACAUCACAGGAGGAUCCUCAGCCUUUACAACCUCCAAGGCACUGGCCUCGACACACAUUGGAUGCUGACCUACUCUUGCCUAUAAGGAGACCAGGCACUUUCUCUCUGUGUUCUUCUUAAGCCAGGGUUUCUCCCUGGACCUGACAUUUGAGUCAGUUCAGUCUUCAUCCUGAGGGGCUGUACUGUGUGGUAUAAGCUUUUUGGCAGCUUGUGCUCUCUCUUCACUAGAUGCCCACAGAAACCCCCGCUGUGAUGGCUGAAGGAUAUUGCUGAAUACUACCCGGCUUGCCUCUUGUGGGUCUUGCCUGUCUUACAUUAAUACCAUAAACAUUCAAGUGUGCUUGCUAAAUGCCAGGGCCUGUGCUAAAUACAUCUCAUGUUUGAAUUCACUAAAGAUUUAUAAGC
rnacentral:lncRNA from 1 species